AUUGAACGCUGGCGGCAUGCCUUACACAUGCAAGUCGAACGGCAGCACGGGGCAACCUGGUGGCGAGUGGCGAACGGGUGAGUAAUGCAUCGGAACGUGCCAUUGAGUGGGGGAUAACGUAGCGAAAGUUGCGCUAAUACCGCAUAUUCUGUGAGCAGGAAAGCAGGGGGACCGCAAGGCCUUGCGUUCUGGGAGCGGCCGAUGUCGGAUUAGCUAGUUGGUGGGGUAAAAGCCUACCAAGGCGACGAUCCGUAGCGGGUCUGAGAGGAUGAUCCGCCACACUGGGACUGAGACACGGCCCAGACUCCUACGGGAGGCAGCAGUGGGGAAUUUUGGGACAAUGGGCGGAAGCCUGAUCCAGCCAUGCCGCGUGAGUGAAGAAGGCC
rnacentral:rRNA from 1 species